GAGCCGAGCAAAUUGCAAGGUUUAGGCGGGCAUUUGAGCACAAUUCACAACUAUCUAUCCUACACCACACCAUCUCUUAAUCUUCACCACAUUUCAACUAACUUCUCUCCAUAUCAACCAACACCAGCCCAUUCGCCCACCACCACUAUCACUGCUCCGCCAACAAGCACCGCCAAACAACGCUACACCCACCUACCGCACAACCCAGCUCUUCCCUGCAACCUCACGGAAAAUCGUGCAACACUUUACAAAGAUCCAGGAAUAUCCAAGCACAACAACAAGACCAAAAUGCCCAAAACCACAACCAAAUACAUAGCAAAAACAGAGGAUUUGUGUUCGUUCGAACCCGUAAUUAUGUUCGCCCGAACCCAAAAGUUAGAGAAGUUCCUGCAAAGGUCGGGUCCGACCGAACUUUCCAUGAGUUCGCCCAAACCACAAUUCGGUCCGACCAAACACCUAAUUAGUUCGACCGAACCUGUUGCAUCCCUCAAAUUGGUACGGAAUUAAUGAAGGUCACGUGGCCGUGUUGUUUUGGGGUGAUCUUGUACCUCGAUUUCUUCCAUACACCGUGAAUUGAACGGAUUUGAUUUGAGAAGCUAAGGAAGGCCAUAAUCUAAUCAUGUUGAUAAAGAUGAUGAGAUCAAGGGGGUGAGAUUGGUUUGUAGGGGGCGAGAAUGAAGAUGAACGACCGUGAUCGAAUUGAAUGAGGAUGGGCUGAUUGUGAUUGCCGUUGAGAUUGAACAGUGAUGAUUGGAUGAUGCUCGACGUUUGAUGAUGAUAACGAGGGAGCAAUCCCACGGUGCUGUUUUAUUGCAGCAGCGAAGAAGACAAACAAACGAAGGGGAGCACGAAGAAAAUGGGCCUGAAGGCCUGAUUGGAAGAAUGGGUCUGCGUUUUUGGUUUUGGAAAAAGGACAAACUCCUUUAAUUUGGGAGGAGAGUUUUAGUUGCUGAUGAUCAUUCUCGUUCCCUUUUCAUUUUUUUUCUCUUUUUCAUUUUUUUUCCUUUAAUAUCUUUUCAUUUUGUUUUAAUUCUUUUCCCUUUUUUUUACUCUAUUUUUAUUUUUUAGAAGGUAGUAUAAAUACUUAAUCUUUGGUUCAUGACAAAAAAAAAAACCAUGUACAUAUUUUUGUCUUAGUCUCUAAUUUUUAAGGUUUUCCUUAGUUUUUUUUGGUGAGAGAAAAUGAGAGAUAAUCAAUGAAAAUUGAGGUUUUUGAAUUCAAGAGUGGCAAUUUGGUUUGAAGAUAUCCACCAUUAAUCAAUGAGAAAUUUCUAUCUCUCUCUUCAUUUAUUGUUUUGAUUAUUUAUCAUUUUAAUUAGUUUAAUUGUUUUUUUUAGUUUAAUGAUUCAUGUUUAGAUUAGUUGUUGUUAUUGUUUAGAAUCAUGUUUUUAGUUGUUAAUUUCUAUAAAUUUCAUAUUUUUAUGUUGAUGGAGUAGUUUAUUGGUUAGGGUUUGGCCGUUUGGGUGAAAACCUAACAAUGAUUGAUUUGGGUAAAUGAGUUUGAAUUUGGUGAUGUUGCAUGAUUAAAUUGUUGUUUGUUUGAGCAUACUCAAACUUUGUUGUAUGCAAAUUAGCUACUUGUGUAUGACUUAGAUUUUGGGGCAGUUGACUUUAGGAAAAUCGAGGGAUCGUGACCUAAGUUGACUAUUGUUUGGUUUGUGCUUAACCGUGACCUCAGGGUACUUGUGUGUAGGACGAGAGUUCGCAUUCGACUAUUCUAAGAGUUGAUCCAAGGCGGGACUCAUUUGGGGAUCUAUUUCUAACCAACGCAUCAUUCAUACUUUGCUUAUGCAUCAUCAUUCUUAAUUGUUGCUCGUAUACUUGUUUCAUUAUUGUUGGUGUUUGAUCUCAUUACUUGACCAUGUUUGUCCUUUGGUAGUUAGUUAGUUUUAGUUGGUUAGUUGACUUUUUACAACCCUAUUGCGACCUAGCUUGUUGUUCGAUUAGCAUAAAUUAGCGCACCUUAGUCCUUGUGGAUUCCGACCCUUACUUACCUCUUUACUUGUGUUUAGUGGUUAGUUUAGGUAAUUUGUUUUAUUUAGGAAAGCUAGUAACGACCUAGUUUUUCCCUUGAUCAAACCUCUUAUGGGUUCCGACGAGCCGUGAGUGUGAGGGGGUCCGCACGACUUUUCCCCUCUGGAUGUGGCACACAUAUUAAGUAAACAGGAACUAACUGUGGGCGUUAGCCUCUUUUUACUAGUCUGUAGGAGUCGCCAUUCAGUUUAAGAAAACUGACAAAACCCGGUUAUCGUGAUAUGCAUGGAGUGCAAACAUAUUUUACUCACACUGGCCAUAGGUUCUCUUGUGAUCUCUGGUGUGGAGAUCCCUCAACGUACAUCCAGAGAGCAGAGAUUGAGAAUUCGGGGGACGUUUACUAAUAUGGGGAGUGCCCAGCAUUACCCCACGCGGCGCGGUCCUUACUAGUUCAAUUGUGACGAUUAUGGGACAUGCGUGAUGCUACAUUACUACUCUUGAUUGAUUUUAAUGCACAGAUAUUACUAAACAGAUGUUAAAACGCUGAUUUAGAUUGAUUCAAGGUGUCUAACAAUAAACCAAUUUGUCCAAGAGUUAUCUUAUUUAGGCAUGAACAAUAUAUCAAAUUAAAGUUAACAGAUUUAUAUGGUGACGAAAGCAAUAAAAGUAUAGAUUCAAGUUACAGCAAAGCGUAGGCUUUACUGCGGUUCUCAGGAACACCUACCACUUGACUUUGCUAGCUUUCCGUUUGUCUUUAGAACUUUCCGAUGACUGACUAACUGUGGGACGAGAUUCUUCCAGAGUUUUGAGUAUUUUAGGCUUAGGGAUUGUGUUUAGGUUUCAGUAUUCAGGCUAUCAGGCGAUCAUGUGGGCAGGGUCUUCUUAACAUUGUGUUAAAUGCGGCAGACACACGAAUACGGGACAGAGAAAAGCUUCGGUCAAUACUCAAGCUUAAGGGUUUAGGGUUAGGAAUGUGUGUUAUUUUCCGGUUUUCAGAGGCCCUAUUUAUAGUAAAAUAGGCCAGAAUAAGAUAAAUCUUCGAAAUGGGAAUUUUCCAACUGAGAUCCGUACAGCGCUAGAAAAUUCCAGCGCUUGGAUCAAGAACGCUGGUUAUUUCUAGCGCUUGAAAUUUCUGCGCCAUCUGGUGACAACUAGAUCAAUUCUAUCUUUGCGUGAUUGUGUAAGGAACAAACUGAAGCGCUAGAAUUUAACAUCGCUUAGGAUUUGUGCGCUGGAAAAUAAUGACGCUUAGAAUGGCAGCGCUAGAAUUUUCUAGCGCUGGUGUUUUACUUCACUUUUCCAGUCUUAUCGGUUUUUUUACCGAACCUUACUCACGAUUUCUAUCCUUAGGAAUACGAGUUGGGAUGCAACUCUUAGCCCUUAUCCAACGAUAAAUCGUAAUGCGAUUUAAACACUUAGAUAUUUUAUCUUAUACGGUUGCUAUUCCGUGCCGCGUUCAGGCAUAAUAGUUACUAUACAUAGUAGUUUCUAAAAAUGGAAAUAUGGUUUACGGGAUAUUAGUCAGUCAUGGAUCGUUCGUGACAUAUUUAGGAAAGCUUAGUCAAGCGGUGUUUGGUUUCAUCAUCGAACACACCAUGUCGGGCCUAGGGACAAAUGUAGGCGUCUACAGUUAGCCCCCACUUUGAUUGAGUCUGAGUAAGACAACAAUCAAAGUAUUGGUAGACGGAAUGCGUCUGGGACCUAACCUGGUUAAAACCAAGUCCGAACGAGGGUCUCCCGAGCCCCCGAGUGAUAACAUUUGAUUGAAGGGUCAUCACUGGGAAUGUCAAUAGCUCCCUCACGAGUCAUUGGGAAUCUACUGACUUGAACUGACUUCUCACAGAGUCAUCGAAGACACUAAACUUGACUUUUUUUAGAAUAAAAUACAAGAUACAAAAUGGAAUAUAGACCACAGAAUAUGAAAUACAGAAUGACAGAAUAUGGAAAAUACGGAAUACAGAAUACGGAAUAGUGACAUUUUUAAGAGAGGAAUGAAUAAACCUCGAAACGGAAUACGAAAUACGGAAUAGUGACAUUUUUAUUAACGAGGAAUGAAUAAACCUCGAAACGGAAUACGGAAUAGUGACAUUUUUAAGCAAGGAAUAAACAAACCUCAAAACAGAAUACGGAAUACGGAAUACAAAAUAGUGACAUUUUUAAGCGAGGAAUGAAUAAACCUCGAAAUGGAAUACGAAAUACGGAAUACGGAAUAGUGACAUUUUUAAGCGAGGAAUGAACAAACCUCGAAACAGAAUACGGAAUACGUAAUAGUGACAUUAUUAAGCGAGGAAUGAAUAAACCUCGAAACAGAAUACAAAAUUGUGACAUUUUUAAGCGAUGAAUGAAUAAACCUCGAAACGGAAUACGGAAUAGUGACAUUUUUAAUCGAGGAAUGAAUAAACCUCGAAACGGAAUAAGGAAUUUUUCAGAAUGCCUUAUUGUUUAGAAUACAGAUUUUUUCAGAAUGCAGACUUUUUUUUUUUGAAAAUAAGUUUCGAAAUUCUUUUUUUUAAACAACCGUCACCUUAAUGGGUUAAGGUAAUCCCGAAACGCAGUGACCUUUCAGUGGGCCGCCAGAAUAAUGUCUAGAAGUUUUUUGAAAUACCGUUACUUUUCCGCGGGAAGCAAAAUGGAACAAGGUUAGGCGGUUUAUUUGAUAAUAAAUGGGGAUAGGUGGCCCAACAUUUUGUCGGAAUGGAACAAUUGUGCGCUGGAAAACUCCAGCGCUUGUAUUUGAGCGCUAAAAUAUUCCAGCGCUUGAAUUUGAGUGCUGGAAAAUUCCUGCGCACGUCUUCUUUAAAUGCAAACAACGCAGUGGCAGUUCACCAUUUCUGCUGCUGCUUGUUCGCAAUUUUCGCAUUCUCUCUCGCUCGUUCUUCAUCAUUUCUGCUCGAUUUUGCAUGAUUUCUUCACCAAAAUUGCUCCCAAGUUGAUCUAAAUCACAUAUAUGUAAGUAACUUCGUAUAAUAUUCAUGCCCAAAUUGAAUUGGGGUUUUUGAUACUUGCCCCAAUUUCUUGCAAUUGUUUGCUUGUAUGUGAUGUUUAUAACAUGUAUGAGUGCCUAAGCAUGUUAUUUUCUACAAGUAUGUUUAUUUUGACCAAUUUUGAAUUUGGUCAAAGUUAGCCCCCAAGUGUGCGUAUGAGUUGAUAUUGGAAUGCAAUGUAGGUGUUUUUGGUGCUUUGUUUGCAGUCUACAUGGUCUAUGGAUGAUAGAAAAUGCAUGAUUUUGAUGUUUGGAAUAGUUUGUGGUCGAUUUCGUAUGUAUGAACCCCAUUACUUGUGAACUUAGUAACAUGCUCGUACUUAGGGAACGAAAUUGUUUGAUGCCACUAGCUUGCUGUGUUUGGGAUUUUAGAACGUAAUUGCUUUGCAUUGCUGAAUUCGAGGUGUGAUGCCUUAUGCUUUUCGUAUUUUUUACGAAAUGUAGUAUGUUAGAAGGUAGUUCAUCCUCCACUGAGGGGGAGACUUCAGACAAUGUCAUGCAGCCACGGAUGGUUUCUUCUCGUCCGAUGAGGCGAGAGGGCACGUAUCGACCUGUUCGGGGCUCUCGGAGGGCGAGGAAUGUCUCUUCGUUUCCUCCAUUGGAGUCUGGAGGGGAUCCUGAUCCCGAGGACAAGCCUGCUUGGCUAGGCCCGUUGGAGUAUGACGGGGUCGACCUUCACCACGACCUGGAGCAUCAUUUGGUGUCCCGAUUUCGUGCCGGAAAGGCCGAGUCAGAUAUGGCUUGUCGACCUUAUGGUGGGUUGAUUUUCGUGGAGCGCUUGGAGAAACUGGAUGAGCGGACUCGUGCAGUAGUGGAGGCAUGCCCCUUGUAUCCGACGGUGUGCGUCUUCAGGGAGGUCGUGGGCCCCAAUGCAUCUAGGCGGUUCGUUCGCCUGCUUCUGGAGUGGUGGUGGGACACCACAACCACUUUUCACUUCCCAUGGGGGAGAUGACUAUUAUUCCCGAGGACUACACCGCCCUUACGGGUCUGUCUUUUCCGGGUACCCCGCCUUACAUUGUUAGGGAUACAGUUAUGCCGUCACAGAAGACGGUUAGGGAGUGUAUUGGGGAGGAGUUGGCCGUAUAGGUGGCCAAGUACAAGGGGAUGGAGAUGCCUUACUCCUUGCUGGUGGAUUUUUUGGCGAAGAGCCGCCCUUCCGGUGCUUCUGCGAGGAUGUAUGCUCGCAUAUUCUACUUAUUGUUCUUGAGUUCGACGAUCUUGUCGAACCGUUAUGAGAGGGUGGAUCCUUGGCUAAUCUCAUUGGUGCGGGAGCUGUCUAUGUUAGGUUCGUUCUGCUAUGGCGAGGCAGCCUAUGCGAACCUGAUUAGCCAUAUGAGUGUGGAUGUGCGGGUCAUGGACGCUCCAGACAGGCCCAUGAGGCCUAUUUCUCUAUGCGCUGUGCCACGACUCAUGGAGCUGUGGGAUUUUGAGCGCCUGCCAUUCUUUCCCCCUCGGUCCCGUAGAGUGGCCGGAGGUUACCCUACGACUUUCUGGUGGGGCACGGCCGGGAAGCUGAUGAGACGCCCACCCAUGGAGAGGUUCUGGGAUAUGAUCGUUGCUGGGCGCCCUGACUUGGUGAGUUGGUCCUGCUGGGCCGGGUUAGAGGAGACUGAGACGUUAGUGGAGACCCGACGUCAAAGGGUUUUUUUUUUCUUACGUUUCGUAGCGUAUUCCCCUACGAGGGCGGUUUUAGAACCUUUGUAUUUUUGGAUUUUAAAGGAGUCGCCACCAAACAUUUUUAAGGGUCCCAUUUGGAAAGACCAAAAAGUGACUCUAUUAGGAUAAGGCAUUGAAUCUUAGAAACGGAUGGGUGAGAUCCGGGCAAGGGAACGAGAUUCUUAUUCCGCGAGCUUUAGAAAUUAUUCAAAUGCAUGGCACAAAACAAUUUCGAAUAACCCUAUUUAUGACACUAUGUGGGUUCGGAUUUAGUACUUUGAACAAAUAGAAUUUCUACUUUGUAUCGUGACCACUUUUCUUUAAAGUUAAUUUAAGGGAACCUAAGAUCGGUUUGUCCAAGAAAUUAUCUUUGUUAAGCGUGGUGUAACCUUGUAUUUUAUUGUAUUUAGCAUGUGAGGUGAUGAAAGCAAUAAACAAGUAAAGCAACAUCACAAUAGAAAAUGAGUGCAUAAUUAGUAAAGUACAUCACCACCUAGAAAGGGACUAGGUGGGAAACCACAUUGCCUAGAAGGACUAGGCAAGUAAAGUUGCAUAAUUAAAAGUGCGGAAUUGAAAGGUGCAAUAUUGAAAAGGUUAAUUGAAACUGCGUUAUUGAAGUGCAUAAUUGAAAGGUGCGAUAUAGAAAUGGAACUAUAGCACAUGAGAUCCGAACGCCAAACGACUCCUUAAAAAUAAGUGCGUCCGACACGGAUUCAAAUCUAAAAUCUUAACUUUAGGUCAAGUUUCUCAACAUAAAGUGUCUUGGAUUUUGAACAUAGAAAUUGAACUUGAAAUAUGGAACUUAAAAUAUUAAACUUGAAAUAUUGAAUCUUGAAGUAUUGAACUUGAAAUAUUGAACUUGAAAUAUUUAACUUAGGAGUCUUGAAUCUCAAAGAUUGGACCUUUUAAUGUUAAAAAGGCUUUAUCUUUAAUAUGCUCCUAUUUUGAAAUGAUCAUAGUUUAGGGAAGUGAUUACAAACAACCCUAAACAUCAUUGAAUCUUGAAAUUUGGAAACUUGAACUUGUAUAUUGAAAAAUGGAGUCUUGAAUCUCAAAGAUUAGACCUUUAAACAUUAGAAAGACCUCAUCUUUGAUUACUCCAUAUUUUGAAGAUGAUUCUAGUUUAAGGAAGUGAUUACAAACAACCUUAAAGAUCAUUGAAUCUUGAAAUUUUGUAUUUGUAUCACAUAAAGUGUGGAUUUUGCAAAAGUAUAUGAUUGUUGUAAGUGACACUUUUAAGAAUAAAAGUGCCAACUUUACUAAUCAUUUUGAAAUAGAAAUCAUAGAAACAUUGUAGAUUAGGAUUGGGAUUCGGAAAUACCUAGCUAGGUUUAGGCUAGAAUUCCUUCUGGAGCUCCCAAUUGCUUAGAACUUUGAGAUUGUAUGAGAUUUUUGAAGAGUUUUUGUAUUUUGAUUUGAGUGGCAAUUUUUGUAUUACGACGUUCUGUUUUCGAUAUGCCCUCCCUAAAUGAUCAGAAUUAGGGGUUUAAAUAGGAAAAUUUGUAGCUAAACGCCAGCUGACACCAGCGUCCAGCGCAGCAGCUGCGCCAGGCGCUGCUGACGUGGCGCAAAAGCUGCCAAACAAGGACGCAGAUGCCGUCCUUGUAUUUGGCUUGUAAUGGGUGUACCUUUGUACGAAUUGUGCGAAGUUGGCACGUAGUGAUUGCUUGGAGAUUAAGGCUUGGUUUGCGUCUAAAAACAAGCCGUUUCGAUUUUUGAAGUCGGUUUUACGGGACGAGGCCCGACUUGCUCGGUUUUGUGGGUCGGCGCCCGAAUUGGGAUUGCUUAGUGUCAUUUUGACUGGAAAAGGUCUUGUAAAACCAAUGGAGUGGUCCAUUGGGCGAGAUUGUACUUGGAUUUUGAAAUUGAUUUUUGGAAAUUGUAUUUCGUACCGAGUUCCGAAAUGGGAACAACCUUGGGUAUUGGACUUUGGCUCUUGGAUUUUGGAAUGUAUUCUAGCAAUUGGUACUUCCGCAUGGAGUUGUUCCAACCACGUAACAAGGAUAAUGGUAUCGUCGUCAUCCCAAUGGGGAGACACGAUUUAGGUGUCUACACCAGGGUCCUAGAGGCCCUGCCUGGUUCUUGGGGGAGCGUGUACUCUGGCAUACGUCACAACUUACCCGGGUGCCCCAGUCGCCGCCUUCUAGUAUGCUGCGCCCUACGGGCAUCCUUGUUAGUCGCCGGGCGGUGCUGCGACGGGGUAUGUCUGCAGGCGAGUUCGUGAUGCUCGACCACAGCUAUCCUGACUUUGUGCGACUCCGGAUCUUGCUUCCUCCGGUCUUCGAGCCUAAGCCUACUGAUCUCAGCGGUUGGGUGCUGCCUGAUUGCACGGUCCGCUAUACGACGGCGGGCGGGUCAAAGAUCAUAGAGGAGGUACCUGUGAUUCCUGAUGAGGAGGGACCCCAUCCGUUGGUCCCUGUGGAUGUUCCCGUAGUGCCUGCUAGGAUGGUGGACCAAGUGGUGUAUUCAACCGGCUAAAGGCCGCGUUGUCCUCAGCUCGGGCGGCUCUCUCUUGUAACAACCCGAACUCGACUCAGACUGGCGUUUUGCAGGCCCGUAUGCCAGAGCCGAUGCGGACUCCUCGGAGGGAUCGUCAUUCUUUAGAGGGUGAUCGUGGCAUCUAUAGAUCGCAUGCUAGGCCGUGCUUUUCGGACGUUGGUUUGGGUCAGAGGCCCAUGCGGCCACCGAUUGGGCCUAGGAGGAGCCAUGGUGGGCCAUUCGGGGUGCCUCAGUCUCAGAUGGGUUGGCAGGUUCCUUCGUUUCAGUCAUUCCAGACUGGUUGGCAGCCUCAGCCAUUUCAGCCAACUUUGCGCGCAGGGUGGGUGCUUGUGCCGCAGACGCAGAGUUGGGACUCUUCUCAGUUCGAGACCCUGUUCGAUGGUCUGCAUAGUUCGCAGGGUGCUGGCACGAGUUGCGGUGCUCAUGGUGACGAGGAUGAGCCUUAGUAGGCUGUAUACAUGCAUUUCUGAUUCGGACAUGUAUCAUUUUUCGUAUCGUGUUAUAGACGUUUAUACAUACUGCUGCUUUUUGUACUUAGCGCCUUUUGUUUGCGCUGUGCGUGCACUGAUUUUUGCGAAA